rnacentral:misc_RNA from 1 species
AACGCACCUUGCGCUCCUUGGUAUUCCGAGGAGCAUGCCUGUUUGAGUGUCAUUAAAUUCUCAACUAUACAAGUUUUUUAUAAACAUGUGUAGCUUGGAUCUUGGGAUUUGCGGGCUUUCACAAGUCGGCUAUCCUUAAAUGCAUUAGCAGAGCUUUUGCCGCUAAACUCUAGUGUGAUAAUUAUCUACGCUAUUGUGAGGCAGCAUGAAUAGAGCUAUGCUUCUAAUCGUCUUCACAGACAAUACUUGACAAUCUGACCUCAAAUCAGGUAGGAUUACCCGCUGAACUUAA